rnacentral:rRNA from 1 species
GUCUCAGUUCGGAUUGUAGUCUGCAACUCGACUACAUGAAGCUGGAAUCGCUAGUAAUCGCGAAUCAGAAUGUCGCGGUGAAUACGUUCCCGGGUCUUGUACACACCGCCCGUCACACCAUGGGAGUCAGUAACGCCCGAAGUCAGUGACCUAACCUAGGUAGGAGGGAGCUGCCGAAGGUGGGACCGAUAACUGGGGUGAAGUCGUAACAAGGUACC